rnacentral:lncRNA from 10 species
GGGGAGGGAUGGAGCAGGGGGCAGGGCAAGGAGGGAUGGGGACUCAGGGCGGGGCACACGGAAGCAACUGCAAGGACUAAGGGAGUCCGCAGCCUGGGGCAUUGGAGCCCUUCGCCAUACCCCUAGUGCGUCCUCACCCCCUCAGCCCGUGCUUCCCAGGGCGGGUAUCCUCGGAAGGCCCGGCCCUCACAGCCUUGGCAGGCCAAGGUCAGAAUGAUUGGAGUUGGGGGAUGGGACGGGGGCAUCCCUCCAGGACCAGCUCUCCAGGAGGCCCACAUUCUUUCUGCGGGAACCACUCCAAAGGGGCAUGCUGUUCCAGGCAGCCCCUCGCGCAGACACUCCGGCUUUGUCGAGGGCCCACAACGCGUCCCCGGUGAUGUUCAUGCCCACCUCCCAGUAGUGCCUCCCAGAGGAGAAGGCCGUCUGGCCCACAGCACAGGGGGCAAGACCCAUCCUGUCCCCUGGGCAUUCCCUUCCCACAAUUGAGCUUCAUGGCACUCCUGAGCCUUCCCCACUGCCCUAGCUCCCACUACCACCAGAGCCCCCAGUGCCUCACCUAAGCUGAGCUACCCUGUCAGCCCACGGCCACACGCCUGAGGUCCUGCAACUCAGGAGAGGCGGAGGGACCCCUUCCAGGCAAGUGGCCACUCAACACUGACCCUCCUCUCCCAUUUCAGGUGGGUGCAGCCCACUCAGCAGGAAUGGGGUGGGGGCGCAAUUGGGUGCAGUUUGGGGAGGGAGGGGGGUGGGUAAGAGACUGAGGCACCUGGGGAUUUUCUGUAGCCUCUUUAGGGAUUCAGAGUUCCCUAAAGAGAUCACUGUUUACUUCUCUGGCCUGGAAGCUACAAGGGACUUGUUUUCCAAAGGCCAUAUUUCUAGUUGCCAGAGCGUGACCCUAACUCUAGGCAGGGACUCUCAUGCAGGUGGCGCGCUUGGCCCUCUGCUCAUAGGAGCACCCUUCUACCAGCUGCAGGGGCUUUUCCCUCAGUUGGUCAGCAAACCAAUGUAGUGGGUUGUGAACAGGCUGCUUUGUUUUUCCUUUUCCUUUUUUUUUUUUUUCCUAGAUGUGAUCUCACCAUCACCCAGGGUGGAGUGCAGUGGCGCAAUAGCUCACUACAGCCUUGAACUCACGGGCUCAAGCAGUCUUCCUGCCUCAGCCUCCUGAGUCCUGGGACCACAGGCGCACGCCACCAUGCCCUGCUAAUAUUUUUAAGUUUUUGUAGAGAUGGCGUCUUAUCAGCCGUAAUCAAGCCCCCUCUCCAGGGCCAUGGCACACAGGCUGGUCCCGGCAGACAGGCUGGCUGCUUCACCUCCCCACUGCCGUUGCCACACAACUCACUCCUGGGACAGUGCACCUCCUCCACACCGAGACAUGGAGUCCCUGUCCCAAAGCCACACCUGGCUGCCAGGUGUCCCAAGCCACCUCUCUGGACUUGGAAGGAAAUGGGGACACUGUCUCAGGUUGGAACCUGUAAGGGGCUGACUUGUGUCCCCACUAAUUCACAGGUUGAAGCCUGAACCCUCAGGACCUCAGAAUGUGACUGUGUUUGGAGAUAGCAUCUUUAAGGAGGGAGUUGAGGUCACUGGGGUGGGCCCUAAUCCAGUCUGACUGGUGUCUUUAUACAAGGAGAUGAUUAGGACAGAGACGUGCAUAGAGAGAUGAUGCCAUGAGGACGCGGGGAGGAGACGGCAUCUUCAGGCCUAGGAGAGAGGCUCAGGAGGAACCAGGCCUGCCCGCACCUUGGCCUCAGCCACCCAGCCUCCAGGACUAGCAGACUGGGAGCUAACAGCCCUUUCCCGUUGGCUGCCUCUUCCCCAAGCCCAGCGCCCCCUGCCCAUGCCUGUCAGAGCUCACAUCCCACCCUGCCUGCCAAGCCUACUGGCUCACCUGCAGCAUCUGGAGGGGCCCCUGUGUGCUCCGCUCCUCCAGCUGCAGCAGCAGCAGCUCCAGAGAGUGACCCUGCCGGUCCAGGCAGGCCACGCUCUCCCGGAGCCUGCUGGCAGUCUCCUCUUCUUCCGUCUCCAGAGCCUGGAGGAGCCUCUGCUCUUCUUCCACCAGGCAUUAGGAUUAAGGUUAACUAAAGGCCAUUGAGAACCCGCAGAAGCAGGAAAACCUGUUUGCCUCCCCCAUUAGCUGCCUAAAAAAAUAAAGUGCCUGGCCUGGCGCGAUGACUUAUGCCUGUAAUCCCAGCACUUUGGGAGGCCGAGGCAGGCAGAUCACCUGAGGUCAGGAGUUCAAGACCAGCCUGACCAACAUGGUGAAACCCCAUCUCUACUAAAAGUACAAAAGUUAGUCGGGCAUGGUGGUGGGCACCUAUAGUCCCAGCUGCUUGGGAGGCUGAGGCAGAAGAAUUGCUUGAACCCGGGAGGCAGAGGUUGCAGUGAACUGACACCGCACCAUUGGAUUCCAGCCUGGGCAACAAGAGUGAAACUCCAUCUCAAAAAAAAAAAAAAAAAAAAUUAAAAAGUGCCCUUUCAUGAAGGAAUUUCCAGUGGUCAAGGCAUCUAUACCAGAAAGAGAGUUCCAAAAACAACUCUUCACCUGAGACACUUGUUUAAAUACUUAACCAACAUCACCUGCCUCCCCAGCCCAGAGGCCCCCAAGCCCUAUUCCUUUGUGGUGCUGACCUACGCCCCUGCCCUCUGGCUGCCUCCUUUGUGGUAUUGAGCCCCCACCUUCUGGCUGCCUCCUUUGUGGUACUGAGCCCCCGCCCUCUGGCUGCCUCCUUUGUGGUACUGAGCCCCUACCCUCUGGCUGCCUCUUUGAGUCUGAUUUUUGAGGCCCCUUCUCUCCACCCUAUGUGUGCAUCUGUAAUUUAAAAUUGCCUUUUUAUCUUUUUCUCUGCUGUUCAUCUGUCUUAAGUCAGUUUCAUUCUGAGGCCAGCCACAGAACCUAGAAGGGUAGAGGCAACUUUCUUCUUUUCCUGCCACUGCGGCAGCAUAUCCCCACGGGCAGACACAGACGUGGAAAUGCAGGAAGAUGGAGCAGCAGCAGGAAAGGGACUGGACAGCCCUGGGCACCCACCUGCCACUCGGCUAAGCUCUGCUCCUCCCUGGCCUGCAGAUUCCCUGUCCUGGUGAUCUGCUCCCGAAGGUACUCCAUGUCCUCCUCCAGCUUCAACUGUGGGACACACAAACCGCAGGAUUUGGGAUCAGCGAUCCCCCUACCUCCUGCCUAGAGUCCAGUUGUGCUCGCUGAAACUGCACCCACCCCAGAGACCCUCCUCAGGAGGGGCAGGGGAUCAAAAUACGUCACCCAGAAUGUGCCACCUUGGAUUAUUUUGAGCUGAAGGCACUUAAAAAAGGGCAGGUGUAAGAAUUGCUGUGACCCUCGGCCUUCCUAAGAGCAGAAGGCACAGCCACCAUGCCAGAGAGGACUGCCCUAGGCCAGGAGGAAAGCCAUGUUCUUACCAAGGGCGGGAAAGCCGAAACCAGAGAAAUCUGUGCAAAGGGACCCUGCUAAACUAACCCUCAUCCUCCUCAGGUACAUGUUUGGCUCUAACAUGCUUCCAUGGGCCUCUGGCUCCUUGGGAGCGACUCCUGGGUCAUGGAAAGCUUACAGGGAAUGAAUUUCAGUGCUUUGCUUCUGCUUAUCUGUCUCAAAUCAGUUUGGUUCUCAGAGCCACCCAAAAUACUCUGAGAGGAGAGGUAAGAUUUUGCAAUGCCUGCAUCAUACAGUGUAGGCCCACAUUGUCCCCAGGGACACCCCUACCCAGCCACAGGCCACCUUGUCCCCUGGAUGCCUCCUCCCCAGCCCCUGACUCGGGCCACUUUGUCCCUGGACACCUCCUCCCUCCCCCAUGAUCUGGGUCACCUUGUCCCCCUGGAUGCCUCCUCCCCGGCCCCUUGACCUGGGCCCCGAUGUGGCCUACCUUGUACCCCUGCACUGCCUCCUCGGCGGGCAGCACCCUGUGCAGCCGGUGCUCCCGGGACUCCCUGCACACCACACAGAUGGGGC